GGUAUUCAGAGCUAAGGUUCUUGCUUGGUGUGUCAAACAUUUUCUUCUUGAUUGGCCGUGAGUCAAUAGCCUAUUUCCUACAACCCAAAAACAAAAACCAAAAACAAAAAGUGUCAAAAAUUUUCUUUCUAGCCGUGAGUCAAUAGUCUUUAGUCUUUCUUACAUUCCAAAAACAAAGUAUCAAAGUGUCUUCCUUGUUAAAACCGUGAGUCCUUAUUGCUUGCCAAAAACAAAACCAAAAAGUG
rnacentral:lncRNA from 1 species